rnacentral:rRNA from 1 species
CCUACGGGGGGCAGCAGUGAGGAAUAUUGGUCAAUGGCCGGAAGGCUGAACCAGCCAUGCCGCGUGAAGGUCAGUGCCCUAUGGGCGUUAAACUUCUUUUGUGCGGGAGCAAUAAUGGUCACGUGUGGCCAGACGAGAGUACCGUACGAAUAAGCAUCGGCUAACUCCGUGCCAGCAGCCGCGGUAAUACGGGGGAUGCAAGCGUUAUCCGGAUUUAUUGGGGUUAAAGGGUGCGUAGGCUGUGAGGUAAGUCAGCGGUGAAAUGCCCCGGCUCAACGGGGUGAAGUGCCAUUGAUACUGCCUUGCUGGAAUGCGGAUGACGUGGGAGGAAUGUGUGGUGUAGCGGUGAAAUGCAUAGAUAUCACACAGAACACCGAUUGCGAAGGCAUCUCACGAAUCCGCGAUUGACGCUGAUGCACGAAAGCGUGGGUAUCAAACAGGAUUAGAUACCCCAGUAGUC